AGUCGAGCGCUCUCUUCGGAGGGAGCGGCGGACGGGUUAGUAACGCGUGGGAACAUACCCUUUGGUACGGAAUAGCCUCUGGAAACGGAGAGUAAUACCGUAUGAGCCCUUCGGGGGAAAGAUUUAUCGCCAAAGGAUUGGCCCGCGUUAGAUUAGGUAGUUGGUGGGGUAAUGGCCUACCAAGCCUACGAUCUAUAGCUGGUUUUAGAGGAUGAUCAGCAACACUGGGACUGAGACACGGCCCAGACUCCUACGGGAGGCAGCAGUGGGGAAUCUUGGACAAUGGGGGCAACCCUGAUCCAGCCAUGCCGCGUGAGUGAUGAAGGCCUUAGGGUCGUAAAGCUCUUUCGCCUGUGAAGAUAAUGACGGUAGCAGGUAAAGAAACCCCGGCUAACUCCGUGCCAGCAGCCGCGGUAAUACGGAGGGGGUUAGCGUUGUUCGGAAUUACUGGGCGUAAAGCGCACGUAGGCGGACUGGAAAGUAUGGGGUGAAAUCCCAGGGCUCAACCCUGGAACUGCCUCAUAAACUAUCAGUCUAGAGUUCGAGAGAGGUGAGUGGAAUUCCGAGUGUAGAGGUGAAAUUCGUAGAUAUUCGGAGGAACACCAGUGGCGAAGGCGGCUCACUGGCUCGAUACUGACGCUGAGGUGCGAAAGUGUGGGGAGCAAACAGGAUUAGAUACCCUGGUAGUCCACACCGUAAACGAUGAAUGCCAGUCGUCGGGUAGCAUGCUAUUC
rnacentral:rRNA from 1 species